rnacentral:rRNA from 1 species
AUAAUAAUUAGUCUUUUAAUUGGAGGCUGGAAUGAAAGAUUGAACGAGAUAGAUGCUGUCUCAAUUAAAUUAAAUUUUAAUUUAAUUUUUAAGUAAAAAAGCUUAAAUAUUAUUAUAGGACGAGAAGACCCCAUAGAGUUUUAUUUUAAUUUAUUAUUUUUUAUAAAAUUAAAUUAAAUUUUAAAUUAAAAUUUUAUUGGGGCGAUAGAAAAAUUUAAUAAACUUUUUUAAAAUAUUAACAGAGAUUAUUGAAAUUUUGAUCCUAAAUUUUAGAUUAUUAGAUUAAGUUACCUUGGGGAUAACAGCGUUAUUUUUUUUAUAAGUUCAUAUUAAUAAGAAAGAUUGC